rnacentral:rRNA from 1 species
UACGGAGGGAGCUAGCGUUGUUCGGAAUUACUGGGCGUAAAGCGCACGUAGGCGGCUUUGUAAGUUAGAGGUGAAAGCCCGGGGCUCAACUCCGGAACUGCCUUUAAGACUGCAUCGCUUGAAUCCAGGAGAGGUGAGUGGAAUUCCGAGUGUAGAGGUGAAAUUCGUAGAUAUUCGCAAGAACACCAGUGGCGAAGGCGGCUGACUGGUCCGGUUCUGACGCUGAGGCG